rnacentral:rRNA from 1 species
GACGAACGCUGGCGGCGUGCUUAACACAUGCAAGUCGAACGGUGAAGCGCCUUCCUUUUUGGUGGGUGUGGAUGAGUGGCGAACGGGUGAGUAACACGUGAGUAACCUGCCCCCUUCUUCUGGAUAACCGCAUGAAAGUGUGGCUAAUACGGGAUAUUCUGGGUCUGUCGCAUGAUGGGUCUGGGAAAGAUAUUGUUUCGGUGGGGGAUGGGCUCGCGGCCUAUCAGCUUGUUGGUGGGGUGAUGGCCUACCAAGGCGGUGACGGGUAGCCGGCCUGAGAGGGUGGACGGUCACACUGGGACUGAGACACGGCCCAGACUCCUACGAGAGGCGGCAGUGGGGAAUAUUGCACAAUGGGCGCAAGCCUGAUGCAGCGACGCCGCGUGAGGGAUGGAGGCCUUCGGGUUGUGAACCUCUUUCGCCAGUGAAGCAGGCCUGCCUCGUUUGUGGGUGGGUUGACGGUAGCUGGAUAAGAAGCGCCGGCUAACUACGUG